AUUGAACGCUGGCGGCAUGCUUUACACAUGCAAGUCGAACGGUAACAGGGAGCUUGCUCCGCUGACGAGUGGCGAACGGGUGAGUAAUGCGUCGGAACGUGCCGAGUAGUGGGGGAUAACGCAGCGAAAGUUGUGCUAAUACCGCAUACGUACUGAGGUAGAAAGUGGGGGACCUUCGGGCCCUCCGCUAUUCGAGCGGCCGACGUCUGAUUAGCUAGUAGGUGAGGUAAAGGCUCACCUAGGCGACGAUCAGUAGCGGGUCUGAGAGGAUGAUCCGCCACACUGGGACUGAGACACGGCCCAGACUCCUACGGGAGGCAGCAGUGGGGAAUUUUGGUCAAUGGGCGAAAGCCUGAUCCAGCCAUGCCGCGUGUCUGAAGAAGGCCUUCGGGUUGUAAAGGACUUUUGUCGGGGAGGAAAUCCCCAGCGCUAAUACCGCUGGGGGAUGACAGUACCUGAAGAAUAAGCACCGGCUAACUACGUGCCAGCCGCCGCCGUAAAAC
rnacentral:rRNA from 1 species